CCAUUUGUUUGUAUCAUCUAUGGUUUCCUUCAGCAGUGUUUUAUAGUUUUCCUUGUAGAUAUUUUUCACCACCUUGGUUAUAUGUUUUCUUGGUUAUUUUAUUUUGUGUGUGUGCAGCUAUUGUAAAUGAAACUGUGUUUUGGCUCUGAGCUUGAACAUUAUUGGUAUAUAGAAAUGCUACUGACUUUUCUGCAUUUAUUUUGGGUCCUGAAACUCUACUGAAGUCAUUUUUCAGUUCUAGGAGGGUUUUAGUGCAUUUUAAAUGGGGCAUUUUAUCAUAUAUUUCAAGGUUAAUAUUUAUAGGUGAGGUUUUUAUUCUACCAUGAACUUGUUAGCUGGUUGUUUUGUAGUUUCUAUUGUGUAGAUGCAUUAAAAGACCUAGGUACUUAGCUGUAGUUUUCUGGAAACAGAUAUAAGUCUUUUGUCUCCAUGUUUAGAACUCCCUUGAGUCUCUUGUAAGGCUAGUAUAGUUGUAAUGAAUUUCUUUAGUGAUUUCUUGUCUGAAAAAUAAUUUAAUUCUCCACUUAUGAAGCUUUGGUGGGGUAUGAAAUUAUUGGUUGGAGUUUCUUUUCCUUAAGAAUGCUGAAAAUAGGGCCCCAGUCUCUUCUGGCUUGUAGGGUUUCUGUGGAGAGGUCUGCUGUUAGCCUGCUUGGUUUGCUUUAUAUGUGAUCUUACCUUUUUCUUUAGCUGCCUUUAAGAAUUUUGUUUUUAGGAUUGACCUUAGACAGCCUAGUGACUACAUGUCUUGGUGAUGUUCAUUUUGUAUAGUAUCUCACAGAUGUUCUCUGAAUUUCUUGUAUUUGCAUGUCUACCUUUCUAGUAAGAUUAGGGAAAUUUUCUUGAAUUAUUCUUUCAAGUUUUCUGGGUUGUUUACUUUUUGGGCUUCUCUCUCAGGAAUACCAAUAAUUUACAGGUUUGGUCACCUUACAUAAUCCCAUCUUUCUCAAAAACUCAGUUCAUUUUUUAAAAUUAUUUUUCUUUGGAUUAGUUUAAAAGACUGAUUUUUAAGCUCAAAAAUUCUUUCUUCUGCUUAGUCUAGUCCACUGAUAAAGCUUUCAAUUAUAUUUUGAAAUUUUCUAAGUGAGUUUUUCAGUUCCAGUAGCUCUAAUUGAUUUUUUAAAAAUGUUUACCUCUUCUUUUAUUUCCUGGAUUGUUUUAGAAGGUCUUUGUGUUGAUUUUCAACCUUGCCUUGGAUCUUGUUGAGUUUCCCUGCAAUCCAUGCUUUGAACUCUCCAUCUGUUAUUGUUGUGUCUCCAUUUUGGCUAGGGAUCAUUGCUGGGGAGCUAGAGUGAAACUUUGAUUGUGACACAACAUUGAGAUUUUUUUAGAGGCAGAAUUCUUAUGCUGGUUUCUUCUCAUCUGAGAAAGUGUUGGGUGGGUUUUUUUGGCUUUGUUGUUAUGGUCCUAUGCACUUCUGUCAGCAGGUUUUAUAUUGGGCUGGGUGGUUCAACCUACAUGACAGAAGAUGACAUUUGCAGGUAACUGCCAGCUGCAGCAUAUGCAGGUGGGUAUAGAUGUGAUUUUUAUUUACUGUGGGGUGCUCUCUGCUGUUUCAGGUGAAGGGUUGGCCAUGACUUGUUGAAGCAAAAUUAAGAAAUGCAUGAAAUGAUUCUAGAAAUGAAAAUAUGUGAAGUAAGAAGAAAAGAGUGAGAUGCAUUCUAUAACUUUUGCCACCAUAUCUCUGACACUUUAUUCCAUUCUAGGUUCCAUGGAUGUUGACUGUUUCUGCUAAGUCACCCUAAGAAUAGAAUUUCUUUUAUGUCAA